AUGUGGGACCAUUUUAUUGUCAUUGCUCGCAGGUUUGAAACUGGAAAUGAGAUUUCCAGGGAUUUUUCCUUGGAAGACUUGCUUAUAUCUGUGAAGGAAUGUGGCACUGCUGCAAGAGGAAAGGAAGCAAAACAAUCAAGGAUAAUCCCUGCAGCUUCAAAUAAUUUUGACCGAAAACUCAUCGAUGCCAUAAAGGAUAAAAGAUUGAAUUUACUGGCACAUGACUGGUAUUGCCUUCAUCCAGUAAGGGGAGAGGAGAUUCUAUUUUGCCCAGGUACAGAUUCAUUGCUACCAGUGGAGAUGGUUGAGCAUCUUAGAAAAGGCAUUGGUGCGAAAGGGCGGCUAGUGCAUGUUGAAGACAUUGGUGCUCGGAGACCUGUUUAUGUAGAAGUUCCACAUGAACUAUCUGAAAAUAUGAGAUCUGCACUUCACAGUAUUGGAAACAUGCAACUAUAUAGCCAUCAGGCAGAGUCAAUACAAGCCUCACUUUCUGGGAAGAAUGUUGUUGUGGCAAAAAUGAGAUCCAGUGGGAAAUCUCUUUGCUAUAGUUUGCUAGAAGUUCUGUCGCAGAGUUCUUCAUCAUGUGCUCUGUACUUAUUUCCAACGAAGGCUUUAGCUCAAGAUCAACUAAGAGCUUUGUUGGCUAUGACCAAAGGAUUUGAUGGUAGCUUAAACAUUGGUGUAUAUGAUGGUGAUACUACUCAGGAGGAGAGGACAUGGCUAGCGCUGCGCCAUAAUUCUAGACUGCUAAUCACGAAUCCAGAUAUGUUGCAUGUAUCAAUCCUACCACACCAAAGACGAUUUGCGCGGAUUUUGGAAAAUAUUAGGUUUGUAGUCAUUGAUGAGGCACAUAUUUAUAAGGGAGCAUUUGGUUGUCAUACUGCUUUUAUCUUAAGGAGACUUCGACGGCUAUGCUCACAUGUGUAUGGAAGUGAUCCUUCUUUUGUGUUUUCAACUGCAACUUCGGCAAAUCCUCACGACCAUUGUAUGGAACUUGCAAGUUUACCAACUUUAGAGCUGAUUCAGAAUGAUGGAAGUCCUGCUGCUAGAAAGCUCUUCAUCCUUUGGAAUCCUUUUGUGGAUCAAGAAACUGUGAUGAAGAAUCCCAAUAAUAUUAUGGAAAAUGGUAAAUCUUCUGAUGAAAGUGCCAACUUCAAAAGCUCAAGCCCGAUUUUGGAUGUUUCAUGCCUCUUUGCUGAAAUGGUACAGCAUGGACUACGCUGCGUUGCUUUCUGCAAAACACGCAAGCUUUGUGAACUUGUAUUGUGCUAUACGCGUGAAAUUCUUCAGCAGACAGCUCCCCAUCUGGUAGACUCUAUAUGUGCUUAUCGUGCUGGUUACAUUGCUCAGAAUAGGAGAAGAAUGGAGAGUGAUUUUUUUGAUGGAAAGCUUUGUGGUAUUGCUGCAACAAAUGCCCUUGAAUUGGGUAUUGAUGUUGGACACAUUGAUGUAACUCUUCAUUUAGGUUUUCCUGGUAGUAUCUCUAGCUUGUGGCAACAAGCUGGCAGAGCCGGGAGGAGAGAUAGACCUUCUCUUGCUGUGUAUAUUGCUUUUGAAGGGCCUCUUGAUCAAUAUUUUAUGAAAUAUCCAAAGAAACUUUUUGGAAGCCCAAUUGAGUGCUGUCAUGUUGACGCUAAGAACCAACAGGUUCUUGCACAGCAGUUGGUUUGUGCUGCUCACGAAUAUGCACUGAGUUUGUCUUAUGACGAGAAGUUUUUCGGUUCUGGUUUAGACAGUGCCAUAGUGUCUCUUAAAAAUAGAGGAUAUUUGAGUUAUGAUCCAUUAUGUAAUUCUUCUGCUAAAUUAUAGAACUAUAUUGGGCGCGAGAAAAUGCCUUCACAUUCAGUUAGUAUACGAUCAAUAGAAACUGGGAGAUACUAAGUUAUAGACCAGCAAAAGAAAGAAAUCCUUGAAGAGAUUGAGGAAAGCAGGGCUUUUUUUCAGGUAUAUGAAGGUGCUGUUUAUAUGAACCAAGGAAAGACGUAUCUGGUCACAAGCUUAGAUUUAUCAUGUAAGAUUGCUUCGUGCUAUGUGGCUGGUUUGAAGUAUUACACAAAAAGCCGUGAUAACACAGAUUUUCAUGUCAUCGGCAGUCAAUAUGCUUAUCGGCCUCAGCUCUCCAACAUCCAGUUCUCAAGAACAACGGCCCGAGCAGAUCCUUGCAAAGUAACAACUACAUGGUUAGGGUACCAUCGUGUAUCUAGAGGAAGCAAUGAGAUCAUGGAAACAGUUGACCAUGUACUUCCUAAAUAUUCUUAUGAGUCACAGGCAGUUUGGGUUCCGGUUCCACAAUCAGUAAAAGAAGCUGUAAUUAUGAAAGACUUGAUUUCCGAUCAGGGCUGCAUGCUGCAUCACCUGUUGUUCUAAACGUUGUGCCUUUACGAAUAAUAUGCAACUUAUCAGACUUGGCUCCAGAGUGUAUAAACCCUGAAUACACCCUCUAUUACCCGGAAAGGAUUCUAUUAUACGACCGGCAUCCCGGAGGAAGUGGUGUCUCUGUACAGGUUCAGCCGAUUUUCCUGGAGCUCUUAAUUGUUGCUUUGGAACUUCUUACAUCUUGCCGCUGCUCAGAACAUGGAGGCUGCCCUAAUUGUGUUCAAAGUUUUGCUUGUAAGGAGUAUAAUGAGGGUUCGCACAAGGAGUCAGCAAUUAUGAUCAUUAAGGGUGUUCUUGAUGCGGAAUUAUGAUAUGCACAAAUCUUCUUAAUCUUCAUAAUCUUGAGUGAAGCAAAGCAGAAGCAGCGGUAUUUGAUACUGACCAGAUUAACUUCUUUUUCCCUAUUUCUCGGUAUGUAUAUAUAUAUAUGUGUGUGUGUGUGUGUGUAAACAAUCCUUUGUAAUUUUUACGGUGUGGUGCAAAAGAAACUUGCUGGUCUUCACUCACCACAGUGAAGUGAUUAACAGUUGAAGUUAAGAGGAAGUUAAGUGAUCAGGAAUCAGAGAGUGGUACAAAUACGAGUACGAGAAAGUUCCAGAAAUAUAAACGUUGUGGUGAUGAACAGAUGAAGUGAUUAGUAGGAAGUAGUAGGCUAUUUUUGCUUUUGAAAACCACAAAUGAAGCAUAGGCAGGCAGAGGAAGAAACAAAAAGAAUAAUAUGAAGGAUGCCUCGAUAUUUUUGGUAGCUCAUGCAAAUCAGGCAUUCUCUGUGUGUAAAUGUGAACUCAGGGAUGGCCAGUCUUAAACCAAUUGUGUUCCUUUUACAAUUCUGACUGCGUUCAGAGGCUAUUGAGAGCUUACUUUGCUUUCAGCCGGUUUGGCCAGAGGGUUUUUUUCG